AAAACUCUGCGGGGUGCGUGACCAGGCGUUAUCAAUAAUUGAGCCAACACUUGAAGAACGGGAGGCAAAUGCCGCCGUUUCGGUGCAGUCUUUCACAGUUAAAGAUUUGCCGUAGAAACCGGCUUUGAUGUGCAAAUUUAUUUGGACAGAAUGCCACCCACCUAUUAUUAAUAGGUUCAAUUCAAGCGUUUGGAACGGCUUCUGUGGGUUUUUU
rnacentral:other from 1 species